UGAAGUUAAAACAUCUUGAUGCAUUUGUUUCUUAUAAACAUGCUUUUCGCUUCACAAGACAUUAACUGAUGGACUGGAGUGGUGUGGAUUACUUGUGGACUAUUGUGAUGUUUUUAUCAGAUGUUUGGACUCUCAUUCUGACGGCACCCAUUCACUGCAGAGGAUCCACUGGUAAUUGCAACACAUGCCAAAUGUGUAGUUUCAUCACAUCAAAACACUGGGAAUAAUUAGGAAGAUUUUGGGUCUUUCCAGCAGCCACUCAUUUCAGUCUCCCACCGAUGACCCAGCGAGGGGCCAGACACGAGAUGAUUGUUUGUGGCAUUGAUGUAACGUCUAGAAGAGCUUCAGUCUGUAAUUAUGUGAAGUGCUCAUGAAGGAGACAGACACGGUGAAGAUAAAUGUUCCCCGGCGCAAAGUCUGAUGAAAAAUGGUCUCUGUAAAUAUAAGCUGUAACCAUAAAAGCAUUCAGAAACAUCCAAACCAAAGAUCUGAUGAAGCUUCUCUGUAUUGAUUCGGGAGGUCCUCACCAGCUCGAGUUUCUCCAGCCUGAGCAUUAAACAAUAGCAGCGUUUAUGUGGUUAACUCCUGCGUAUCGCGUUGCAUCAAAUACUGCAGAUACUUGCAUGACCAAUACUUAUUUAUACUGUAAUUUUACUGAGCUUAGUCUUUAUUUACUUUCAUUGCAGGUCUGGUUCUCAUAUGCGCUUAGUAAUAAAGAUACAUACUAAUAUCUCGUUGAAGACACUGGGUUUCUUCAGAAUGGCGUACUAACUUUUUUUUUUUUUUUUUUUUUUUUUGCAAGCUAGAAGUAAUCUGUGUGAAAAUAAAUUGUGGCUAUAAAGUAAGUCAUAA
rnacentral:lncRNA from 1 species